CUGGCUUAGUUGUUUGUUUACGUUCGCUGUACAGCGCCGCGCCAAUCAACUGUGACUGGCUUGCUGCAGAGCGUGAGCGUCUUGGGAAUACCCGGUCAAUAUAAUGGAUAUAAUAUGGACACAUAUGACAAUCAAUAUUCGGUAUUUGUUAUGGAUUUAUUGUACAAAUUCCCUGAAAAGAUGCACGUUCCAGGAUGAAUUGAAAAGCUCCCGUAAGGGCUGAGAUGGCAGAGAACAGCUGAUUUGGAACGGAGCAGCAGCUGUUCGCUUUCACAGGGAAAAACUAAGGAACUUCAACCUACUUAGGCCUACUAAUUAACGUUCAAAAGCUAUUAAAUCUUCAACAAAAUAUGCAGAAACGGUCAAAAUCGGUUCAGGGAGUAUAUAGGGAUUAUUAAUGUUGUUUUUGUUGGUGUUUUUUUCUGGAACGAGUAUUCGAAUAUUCGCUCGGAAAAACCAACGAGUAUUCGAAGCCUGAAAAAUGGCAUUCGGGCCAGCCCUAGACUCAACGAAUCAAUGACAAAUUCGUUGCCAACGCUUUUUGUAAUCGAUUUUCAUCGAUUUAAUCAAUUUGUUGUUGCAGCCCUAAUUUAUAAUAUACAUUACAUUAUAUCAAUCACAAAAUAGCAACAGUCCCCUUUCAUACUGCUUCUGUUCUUUAAACAGUGGUUUGCCUGCUUUUCCUCCGUGGUCUGCUCCACUAGCUGCAGUGGGCGGUGGUCUGUGGGGGCGGGCUCUGUGAGCGUUACUGACCAAUAUCAUCCCACUGCAGACACAAAUGGGCAUUCUCGUGUGGUGGGGGUUCCCGUUUAAGCAGACUGGAACGCCUCCUUCUUACUCUUCGUCGCCUUUCUUGCUGAACUGGAUUAAAAUGUCAAAGUGUACUACUCAAAAACCAUGUAAAUAGUGUUGUAAAUAAAAUUCCAAAGCUUUUCAAAUCUUAUUUGGAAAAUAACUUCACAUGGCAUUCCAACCGAAGACGCUGGGGUUGACAAGUUACCGGACUACUACCCAUGCAAGUGAACGGAGCGUUCCACGGCAUUGAGAAGACCCGUGUAAUAAAGGCCUAUAAUAUUUCUGUUUAUGGCAUCGAUUUCUCCUCAGAUUAGGCCAAUAAAGCAAUGAUAACAAAAACCAAAAAAACACAAACGCUCGAUCAAAGGCCCGGCCCGACCCGGCUCAAGGAUAGUGUUGGGAAAUAUCGGCGGGUCGGGUCAAUCAAAAAUCCUCAUUGUUUGACAUGAAUUGGCUAAACAAAUGACCACUUUAGCAUAUUUAUACACAAUUCAAAUUGUGGAAGGAAUUAUUUCCAUUGGUCAUUCUCACCGGGGACAUUAAGAAAUUUCGCUCUUCCUCAUUUUUUUCCCGGGUCAACGAUCGGUAAUAACCGGACAACCGAAACUCUGCUAUAAACCGACCUUACUUUCACUGUCAACACCGAACCCGAUUUUCUCAAACAGAAGUUUCAAAAUAAGAUCUAGUAGUAAGUACGAGUAGCAUAGAACUAACGUUAGCCAAGUGGGGGCUCCAUGAUUGCUAAAUCGAAUGAGAGGUAAAAUUGCCAUUAACGAAGGAAAGCAUAGUAUGCCAUGCGACUGCUUCGCAGUAUACCUUGCGAAACCCAGUAUACCUUGCGAAACACAGUACACCUUUCGAAACCAAGUAUACCUUUCGAAACACCUCGUGAUUGGUCGAUGAAACGCCACCAGGAACGCCUGUUUCAUGGAUUAUAGCAAGCAAAAAAAAAACGUUCUUGUGUCAUGACGGAAACGCCCAAGCCUGCAGAUAGAACCUUCUCUUACUGACCGGCUGGCUAGCUCGCCACGCAGGCGCUAAUGGAGCAUCUAAAC